rnacentral:RNase_P_RNA from 1 species
UCAGACGGUCGGAUGGUUGCUCCUUUUAUAGGAGAGGAAAGUCCGGGCUCCACGGGGACACAGUGCCGGGUAACGCCCGGCGGGGGCGACCCUAGGGAAAGUGCCGCAGAAAAUAUACCGCCUAAAACUAUUUAUUAGUUUGGGUAAGGGUGAAAAGGUGCGGUAAGAGCGCACCGCAUAUGUGGUAACACGUAUGGCAGGGCAAACCCCACUGGGAGNAAGACCAAAUAGGGGUGGUAGUUUUUUAAGAAUAUUCUUAAAAAACAGACUGGUUUCCGGGUUACCACCCGGGUAGGUUGCACGAGAUGGUUGGUAACAUCCAUCCUAGAUGAAUAGCCAUCAGCUAAAUAUUUAUAGUAUUUAGUUACAGAACCCGGCUUAUAGACCGUCUGAUUUA